UUUAACCAAAUAGUUAUCUCGCGCUUUCAAAGCGCGGAUCAAAAUCUAGUUUUUGUUAUAACAAGAUACAAAUUAUCAUAAAACUAUAUGAAUAGAAAUUCUCAUUUAAUAGAUAUUUAUAUUAAAAGUAUAUAUAUAUUUUAAUACAGUUUAAAUUAAAUUAUAUACCAUAUUAAAUAAAUAUUUUAGUUCUUAAAUUUAAAUUGAACAAGUAUUGAGAACUUAGUAUUUUAAUUUUUCAUUGAACUUUUACUAAAAUUACUAAAAGUCCACAUUGAAAUUUUUAUUUUCAGCAUUUUAAAAUUUUUGUUAUAAGAAAUACAAAUGAUCAUAAAAUCAUAUAAGUACGAAGCCUUAUUUAAUAGAUAAUCAUAUUAAAAUAUAUUGUAUAUGUAUGUUAAUAUCAUUUAAAUUUAGCUAUAUACCAUAGAAAAUAAGUAAAUAUAACAGUUUUGAUUUAUUUAUCAUAAAAAUAUUGUAAAUAAAAAGAGUGAUUAUUUUAAUUUAUGUAUUCGUGCCAAUUUAAUUAUAUAUAGUUACUUGUUUUUCAAUUAUUCAAUAUUUAUUUAUUAUUUAUUAUUUUAUAAAAUGUAAAAAAUGCAAAAUAAAUAAUAUUGUAUAUCAAACACUCUUCUCACUAGUAGAAAUAUUGGCUAUAGCUACGAAGUUGCUAAAUUUAAAAAUGCUACGAAAAUGCUACGAAAUAGAAAACGUAACAAAAAGAGCUAUGAAGUUGCCACGAAACUAAUCGUUGCAAACAAUAGCUACGGUUUUGCUACGAAAUUCUCGUGGCAAAAUAGCUACGAAGUAAAUCGUGGCUAUAAUCGUUUCUAAUUUGUAAAAAAAAUAUCUUCUUUGCUACGAUUUUGCCACGAUACAGCUACGAAAAUUUGAAUCCCAAAAACCCUAAACAUAUUUUUAAACCCUUAAAUCUUAGUAUAAACCUUAAAACUCUUAUUUUAACUUUAAAUCUCAAAACUUAAACUCAAAAUUUAAUAUUUUCAGAUUUUACUCUAAAAUUUCAAUUCCAACCUCAAGCACUAUAUCCCAAACCAUAAUUCUAACCCUAAACAUUAUACCCAAAAUUAAAAAAACAAACACCAAAACUAAUAUUUUCAAACUUUAAAAAAAAAUCUUAAAAAUAAAGUAUAAAUCUAAUAUUUUCAAACUUUAUUUUCAAAUCAUAAAUUUUAAACCAUAAAUUAUAACUUUUUAAAAACAAACCUUAAUUCUUUAACAUAUACCCUCUAUUUUAAACUCUAAAAUAAUACAUAAACUUGUAAAUUUUAAUUUUUAACUUUUAAUUAUAUAAACUGAAUCAUAGCUACAAUAAUAUCAGCAUUAAUUAAGAUUAAAAAACUUGAAACAUAAUCAUGUAAAUCAUAAAUUUCAGUUCAUAUGAUUUAAAAAGCAAAUCAAAAUUACUCUAAACUUCAUACUUCAAACAUUAUUUCAUAAACAUUAAACAUUACUCUAAACUGCAAACUUUAAAUAAAACUCUAAAUUUUAAAACUAAUAUCCCCUAUAUACUAAAUCACAAGUCACUUGGCGAAUCAAAAACCGACACAUGGAAUUUGUUUUUAAAUAAAAUAAAAUGAAAAAGUCUGACCCAACUGAAUUUCUCUUUUAUAUAAUUUAAAUUUUUUUUUAUGUAAUUUAAAUUCUGUGUCUACGGUUUAUGUUUAGAAUUAGUUAGAAAAAAGAGAAAAAGAAGUUAAAAUGUAUCUGUUUAAACCUUUUCUCAACCAAAGCCACACGAUCACCACCUUUUCACGUAAACUGCUUACACCUAAUUCAAGUGAACUUUAAAAUCAUUUCAUCAACAUGUUUUUUUUUACAAAGCGCUCUUCGUUUCACACAAACAUCAUCAACAAAUUUCUUUACAAGCUUCACUAAAUCCAUUCUUCUGAAGUGUUCAAUUUUGAUGUUUACGAGCCACAAUCCAAUUGAUGCUUUCAGCCGCUUUAAAACCAAAAUUUCCAGAAUUCACAGGUAAACAGAAAAUCAAGCAUCAAUCUUUGUAUUGUUCAGUUUUUUUAUUAUUAUUUUAGUUUGCUGCAAACAUGUACGAGAAGUCAUAUCUAAAACAAGAAGCAGGUCUAAGCAAUCAAAGACAAGUUUGGAUGAAGUAUGUUCUAGAGCUAAGUUGGCGGAAGUUAGAGACAGAUGAAUUAGAUAAGAGUAUUAAAUAGAGUUGCAAAACAUUUGACCCAUUCAGAAUUUCAGGUAAAGAAUUUUUUUUUUACCUUUCAGUUUUUAUAAAAACAAUUUUCUUUUUACUUUUCAGUAUUUAAGUAUAUAUUUAAUUAUAUACUUGGAUAAUAAUUACAUUAUUGCUUCUAUACUAAAGAAUUAUUGUUUACCCUUCCCCAUCCUCUUUACAAUUUUGAAAUUUGAGACACUGUUAUUCAGGUUCAUACAAUAUUUGACAAAAGAAAAAAUAUUCUUACUGAAAAGUAUAUCCCCUAGACUAUAUUUGCGAAGUGAUUUUGCCACAUGUCUUUUCUACAAAACAAAUAUGACAUGGCUACUGAAAUUAAUGACAUGGAUUCCGGAAAAAUAUGACAUGAAUAAUUUCAUUUAAUGUUGAUUUAUAUUUUGGCAAACUUAUUAGAAUAUUGUAAUAAUUCAUAUAUUACAUUUAAUAUUGAUAUUUCUUUUUGGUAAACUUUUUUUAAAAUAUGGUAAUAACUCAUACAUCAUCUAUAAAAUAAAUAUAUUCAUAUAUAACAUUUUAAAUUUCAAAAUAUUAUUAGUUUUGUAUAAUUAUACAAUUUAUAUUACUAAAGCUUUCAAAAAAUUUUGCAAUUUUUUUAAAAAUUUAACUAUCUAAUCGCAAGAUCAUUAGUUUUUUAUAUUUACAAAUUUUAGAAAUAUUGUUUAGGCUAAAUUUUUGAUAAUUAUACAAUUUUAUAUCAUUUUUGUUAGUUUUAUACAAAUUAAUUUAAUAUAUAUCAAAUCUAAAUAUUAGUAAGAAAAUAAUAAAAUCUAUAAUAUUUAAUAAAAUUUAUUUUUAAAUAUAAGUUAAGUUAAAAAAAUUAAUUACAAAACACCUAGUGAUUAAUUAAGAGACAGUAAAAUUAAUCGUAGCAUGGACGGUAACGCUAGUAUAUAUAUAAACCUUAAAAUACCCAAUACAAAUAUUAAACUCUUUUUAAUGAUGGGGAAUCUUCGAUCGGGAGGAAAAUAAAUAAAUGAGGGAAAAGUAAGAAAUAAUGUGAUUGGUCGAUGUCAAAAAAGAUGGAUCACUCGUUCUCAUGUCCUAUUGGUUUUUCGUCAUCGUGGAGCUCGCCGUCAAUGGCGAAGAGAGAAAAUGAGUUUACCAGAAGAAGAAAAACAAUCAAAGCGGUUGGAGAAGAUCGAGAGACGAUAGCAACUCUCAACAAGAGUUCUCUGGUUUUGACUUGGAACAGAGAUCGAAACGGAGGUCCGAUCAGAGAGACAGAGACGAAGCGAUAGAGAGGAAGAGAUAGAGACGAACAGAGGAAGAGAGGAAGAGGGGAAGAAUCGAAAGACUUUGUUUUUUUUUCAACUACACGUGUACUCUAAGCGACGGCUCUUCCACCGCUUAAUUAAGAUACGUUUCUUGCCUUAUUUACAUUUUUUCUUUUUCUUUAAAUCAUAAUUACCCUAAGAAACUUGUCUAAGAGACAGGGAUAAUUGUGCUCUAAGGAUCCCGAGCUCGUGGAACAACCUUUGAACAAAUAUGAACAGAUCGAGGCGUAAAGGACCCAAAAUGCAACGAUUAUAGACCAAAACGUAAUAUAAUUAUUUCUUAAUUGACGAAAAACCUGAGGCAAAUUGCCGAAAACCAAAGACGUAUGGAGAAAAUAAAACAAAAGUGGGGUGACGACUUCUAGUUUUUUACUUUUUAAAAACUUUUCAUUUUUUCUUUAUUUUUAGUGAAAACUUUUAUGUCUUUGAAUUUUAAAUAUGUUUUCAAUUAUAAUUUUAACUUAUUGUGGUUUAUAAUAUUUUAAAUAAAUAUUAUAAUUAAAACCCUCGUAUAUCUGGUUUAUAAGAUUUUAAUUUUAAAAUAUUAUGUUUAACAAAAAAAUAAUUAUUUUGAAUGUUUUUGAAGAAUUCCCGACAGAUGGAUUCAUGAUGGGUUUCCCAACGAAAUUGUCGAGAAUUCAUCGGUAAAAUUUGCGAUGGACACAUGUGUUGGUUGUGGGUUUGCAACCCCACUUAACUCUUCCUAAAUCACCAUUGGCCUAUUAAACAAGGAGUAGAAGUCUGGCCAUAAUGAAAUAGCAUUACUCUUUUGUAUAUAUAUAUGAAGUCAUCCCGUAGAGAAAAGGGAUUCCUUUCACUCUCUCCUUUUGGAGAAUAAAAGAGAGAGAAGUACAUGAAGUUAUAGAAAGAUCUCUUUAGGAGAUCUAGAAGGCCAAGCUUCUCACGACCAUCAUCUUGCAGCGUUUCUCCAACGACAUCAUUCUGACAGCGAUAUGCCGACGUCGUUACCCGAAGCUGUUAUCCCCACAGCGUAAUUAUUUUGUGUCGUCACCUCGUAUAUCUUGUUGUCCGACUAUGCCAUCAUUCUAGUCUAGUAUCAAUCACAAUCUCAACUUUACUAAUUAAAGGUAAACUCAAAUAACCCACGUGAUUAAUUACAAAUGGCUUGAGCGACGUAGACAGCUUUCUCACAAAGUACAACUAUAACGCACAAAACUUCUAUUAUUUCUUUGAUGUCGCCUAGAUACAACCUCAUUAAUACAAGAUUCUGAAACAGAAUUUGAAAGUUUGAAGAGUAUUUUGGUGAGUAUGGGGCUGAAAAGGAAGCCUUGAAUCUUCAGUAGCCAACAAAUUGCCUAUUUUAACCGAAACAGUCAUUAGUCAGUGUUUCUUGCUAGUUGUGACUCAUAUACAAAGGGGGAAAAAGCUCACCUGCCCCUGGAUCUCAUGAAUCAAUCUCCUAUGGGUCUGUGAAUCUCUUAUACUCCUAUUUCAUUAACUAAAUGCGAAUUAAAGUGCCCUCAGAUUAUUAAAUCUAAAAAAAUGAAAAGUGGUUUGGUAUUUUGGUUUUCCUUCGAUUGGUUGGGUAAAGUGGUUUGGUUGAAACAGAUCGGUUUGAUCAUUAUCAAUCCCGAAACGUUCCUCCCGAAACCCUCAGCUCAGCCCCCUUCUCUUUUCUUUUCGGGUUCUUUUCCCACAGCUGGUUUUGCCGCUUCUUGGUUUCUCCCUCAGCUCAGCUCCAGAACCCUCAGCUCCUCCUCCACUCACAGGUUCUCAAUCUUCGUCGGGGCUGUUCGAGUUGCAUAGGAUACAAUGAGCAAUCACGUCAGUGAUAUACAUGGUAGUCAGGAAGAGAGCUACGAGAUGAUGUAUAGCUAUUUGUACAUGCUAGAGCAAGUGAAUCCAGGAACAAAAACCUGUGUGAAAUUGGAUGAGGGAUCGAAAUUCAAGUACCUCUUCGUAGCCUUGGGACCUUGCAUUGAAGGGUUUGCAGUUAUGAGGAAAGUGAUAGUUGUGGAUGCGACAUGGCUGAAGAAAAGAUAUGGUGGUGUUCUAGUCUUCGCGAAAUCACAAGAUCCUAAUCGUCACGCUUAUCCACUUGCGUUUGCAGUAUUAGAUCGAGAGAAUGAUGCUAGCUGGACUUGGUUUUUUGAGAUGCUUAAAAGUGUUAUACUAGACUCUUCUGAACUGGUUUUCAUGAGUGACAGAAAUAGAAUCCUCAUCUCCGCUUUAGCAAACGUCUUUCCACAGGCUCACCAUGGUCAUUGUUUAUGGCAUUUGAAGGAAAAUGUGAAAGGGCAUGCUUGUAGCGUCAAAAAGGAUAUAGUCGGGCAUAGAUUCAUGGAAUUGGGCAGAUAUUACGCGGAGGCUGACUUCGACUCUGCCUACAAAUCGUUUAAGAGAAGAUAUCCUUCGGCUUGGAAGUAUGUGGAAGAACAUACUGAAAAGGACAAAUGGGCAAGAGUUUUUUUUUCCACGUGACAGGUACAACAUGGAUACAAGCAACAAUGUGGAAUCAAUGAAGAACGUGCUUAAAGAGGCAAAGAGGUGUGCCUUAAUACCAAUGCUGGAUUGCAUCAUCGGGAAAAUCUCUGAUUGGUUCAAUCAACAUCGGAAGGAUGCUGUUGCUGGAUCAAUUGAUAGCAAACUGGUGCCUCUGGUUGAGAAUUACUUGCGCGAGCUAUGGCCUGUUGCACAAAAGCUACGUGUGCGGGAGCUUGAUAGUUAUGAGUAUGAGUACGAGAUCACCGACACUGAAGGAAAUAUGUUUUUGGCGAGCUUAGUUGGGAAAAAUUGUACUUGCAAGGUGUGAGAUUAUGAAAAGUUUCCUUGUCUGCAUGGACUGGCUGCUUACAUAAAUUUCACUACAAACGUUGGCAGGCGCCUUCAUAUCCAUGAGCUGUGCUCAGAAUACUACUGGUCCGAACUGUGGGCAAUGGCAUAUUCCAGGACACUUUAUGUUGUGCUCGAUAAGUCUUCUUGGAAUGAACCGGAUUACAUCAAGGAGGUGAAGAUCAUGCCUCCGGAUCGCAUCGCACGGGAGGGAAAGAAAAGAGUUAGAAGUUAGUUAUUUGGAUUUAGGAGUAAUGCAUUUAGCUCUGUUAUCUGUUUAUUUUGUGUUGUAUGCUUCGGAAAACUGCGUAAAACUUGGUUAUCUACUUUGUUUUCUAAUGACAUUAGUAUUAGCUAUAUCGAAACUCGGUUAUCAUAAUAUUAUCUAUAUCAAAUCUCGGUUGUUAUAGUUU